UUUGUGAGGCAGACAGAAACAGACAUACCAAGAGAACUCCCAUCCACUGGUUCACGCCCCAAACGCCCACAACAGCCAGGCAGCAGCGAGGAGCCCAAUGCAGGUCUCCCACAGAGUGGCAGGAGCCAGACGCUUGAGUCAUCGCUGCUGCCUCCCAGGGUCUGCAUCAGCAGGGAGCUGGAGCCAGGGCUGAGCUCAGGAGGUGGGGCCAGGGCUGAGCUCACUCGGGAGGCGGGGCCAGGGCCGAGCUCACUCGGGAGGCGGGGCCAGGGCCGAGCUCACUCGGGAGGCGGGGCCAGGGCCGAGCUCACUCGGGAGGCGGGGCCAGGGCUGAGCUCACUCGGGAGGCGGGGCCAGGGCCGAGCUCACUCGGGAGGCGGGGCCAGGGCUGAGCUCACUCGGGAGGCGGGGCCAGGGCUGAGCUCACUCGGGAGGCGGGGCCAGGGCUGAGCUCACUC